rnacentral:rRNA from 1 species
UACGUAGGGUGCAAGCGUUGUCCGGAAUUAUUGGGCGUAAAAGAGCUCGUAGGCGGUUUGUUGCGUCGGCUGUGAAAUCCCGAGGCUCAACCUCGGGUCUGCAGUCGAUACGAGCAAACUAGAGUGUUGCAGGGGAGACUGGAAUUCCUGGUGUAGCGGUGAAAUGCGCAGAUAUCAGGAGGAACACCGGUGGCGAAGGCGGGUCUCUGGGCAACAACUGACGCUGGAGGAGCGAAAGCCGUGGGGAGCGAACAGG